GACGAACGCUGGCGGCGUGCUUAACACAUGCAAGUCGAACGGAAAGGCCCUGCUUUUGGGGUGCUCGAGUGGCGAACGGGUGAGUAACACGUGAGUAACCUGCCCUUGACUUUGGGAUAACUUCAGGAAACUGGGGCUAAUACCGGAUAGGAGCUCCUGCUGCAUGGUGGGGGUUGGAAAGUUUCGGCGGUUGGGGAUGGACUCGCGGCUUAUCAGCUUGUUGGUGGGGUAGUGGCUUACCAAGGCUUUGACGGGUAGCCGGCCUGAGAGGGUGACCGGCCACAUUGGGACUGAGAUACGGCCCAGACUCCUACGGGAGGCAGCAGUGGGGAAUAUUGCACAAUGGGCGGAAGCCUGAUGCAGCAACGCCGCGUGCGGGAUGACGGCCUUCGGGUUGUAAACCGCUUUCGCCUGUGACGAAGCGUGAGUGACGGUAAUGGGUAAAGAAGCACCGGCUAACUACGU
rnacentral:rRNA from 1 species